CGAUGGUCACGGCGAGAAAGCAUUUGAUCUACAUGUGUAAGUGUAAUAUGGUUAAACAUUCGUUAAGCAACGUUCAAGAGCAAUGUGUUUUCAUACAUGCCGGGAAAAGUUUUCGAGGGAUAAAAAGUGUCAAAUAGUUCAAAAGUUGGACCGGAACCCCAUCACUCCGUCGUUCGCUACUGUGCUGUUAGAAGGGAUACAGAAGAACGCCAGCAUGGCACUGGAGCAACUAAGCAUGCAGUGUAUCGUGGUGGACAAGGCUUUCCAGGGAGUGCUGGAUGCAGUGCGCCAGGAACGUAAUUUCCACGUGGUGUAUGAAACGUCACUUCCUGUCUCAUGCAGAAACAGAAAUGACAUGCUUACAGAGAUCGAGUUACGCAGUACGUACAACAUCGAACCUCUGCGUCUGCUAUACCUCUUGAAGGAGCGGAAUCGCGCACAGGACUUCUUCCACAAGAUCAACAAGGACCACAACGAGGGACUCACUCCAGACGAGGUUGCGUUACUCUUCAAGGAAUCCGGUAUGCCAGUGGCUCGUUUCGUCGUCGACAGGAUUAUGGAUUUCAUGGACGUGGACAAAGACGGCAAGAUAGACCUCGGCGAGUUUUUGAUCGGCGACAAGAAGAUCAAGAAACUCUCGCGAGAUCUUGCCCGUAAGACGAUAGAGGACGAGACACAUUACAGUCGAUAUUCUAGAACCUUCCGACAGGCACACAUUCAGCAAUUAACGUCCAGAUUGAAAGUCAAAAUACGGGUUUUAUUAUCAAAUGUACAUAUAAUAUAACGUGAGGUUGGGGUUUAGAUCGAAGUGUAUUAAAGUUUCAGGUACAUGGCGCAAGAUUGUCGAACAUUAUGUGAUGUUAUAUGCGGAUAUGCUUGAUGUGAUUUCAGGUAACACACUUUGUGCCCCAAGAAUUGAAUUGGGACUAAAUACCAUUAUAAGCUAUGUAUAUCAUGCGAUAGGCUAAUGCAGCCAAUAUAAAUCUUGCUAAUGGCAAAAUAGAACCAUUCUAAAUAAACUAGUUCAAAUCUAUGAGUAACGGACAAAGUAUUAUUUAUUAGGUUUACAUUGUAUUGUUCUUAUUGAGAUUGCUCUUUGCGCCCAUCAAUCCUUAAAGGGGCCUAUUCAAAGAGUUUGUCGUGAAUUGAAGUUUGUCAUUAAAUGCUUUAUAUUGAUAAAUGUAAACAUUGGAUCCAAAAAGCUCCAGUAAAAAAAAAACAGAAUAAAAUUAAAGAAAGAACAAAGGAACCCUCAACUGGGCACGAACCACUGACCCCUGGAGUAAAAGUCUAACACUUAGACCACUCGGCCAUCCGUGCUCUUACAAUAAAUGAUGUAUUUUAUUCUUUACAUAAGCAAUCCUCGUAGUAUCACAAAAUAUAACGACAACAACAGAACUCUCCAAAUUAUUCAAUCGUUUCGCCUGGAACGCUUUAUAAUGUUUAGGUUUUUAAAUCGUCAAAAGAUGCAUAUAAUGGAUAUUUUAGAGAAUGGUAAAUGUUCAGCAUUACUGUUUCCUCACAAAUAUCAUAACUUCAACGAAAAUGUGCGAAUCUGAAACAUUUUUUUUUUAAAUGUGUCAAUUUACCAAAACGUGAAAAGGCCCCUUAAAACACAGCUUUUUAUACGACUUUCCUGCAAGACAAGUUUUUAGAACCUAUGUCUUUACAUUUGCAGGAUGAACUAUUUUGUUUUAUGGAGUAUGCUCUUGGUCAAAUAUACGUUAACUAAGUAUUUUUUAUAUAUUAUAACGUAUAUUUGUAUUCGUAUUUUAAUGACCGUUAUUAUAAUAAAAAGCACCUGCUUUAUUCACAAAACUACAUGUCAUGGUCCAUAGCUUGUGAAAUUACAUUAGGCAAAAUUCUUGAGUUGAAUUCAUUUCAUGUGCCAUUAAUUAAAGGUUUCAGUCAUAUCUGGAUUAUGACUAAUUACAGUGUGUUGAUAUGAUGUUA